rnacentral:tRNA from 1 species
GCUGGAGUGGCGGAAUUGGUCUACGCGCAGCACUCAAAAUGCUGUGGGCGCAAGCCCGUGUGGGUUCGAGUCCCACCUCCAGCA